GAACAACAUUUCCUGAUUAGAAAACACUGUUUGGUGUUUAUCAGACAAACGCCCACAUAACAAGCAGGUCUGGCCCGGAUCUGGUAUCAAGCCGGCACUGCUGGCUGACUUCCAUAAGACGUAUGUGAUCCAGAUACAGGCCAGGCCUGGCAUAGAUGCCACUGUUUAUGUGACUGCAUGCCAUAUCUGGCCUGAUUGUGCUUUGGGUUAUGUGGCCCAGGCUCAUAGAAAACAGGUCUUGGGAGGAGGAAGUCAUCAGAUCUAGGUCUACAUAUUUCUGUUAUAGAAGUGCAGCUCCUUCAGAGAUGGGACAAAGAGGAGGUCACCAGCCUGCUGAGGCCAAGUUCGAUUUGAUUUUCCAGUCAACGCUGAGAGACUUUGACCAGGAAGUCAGAGGUCAGCUCAUGCUGCGAGCAGGAAAUGAAUCAAGGAAGAAGGAUCGCUCUACUCAAUCUCAAAGAAAAUCUCCUGAGAGGGAAACGUUGUAUUUUCUGCCUCUCUUCCUCACAGUAAAGACAUUUGUAUUGCACUCCUGCAAAGAAGAUUCUGCAGGUAAACUGUUGAUGGGACAAUAAACAAAUUUCACUUUGCAAAAUGUUCUGCAGGGAGGUUGUGCUUGCUUCUUAGACUACCACGACCUGGAUGAUUGAGAACCUACACAGACACGUUCUGAAGGAAGAGCUCCACACUUAUUGGACUGAUUUAACUGUGUUCAUUGUCAUCUAGCAAGUUUUGCUUUAAUGUGUCUCUAUCGACAACACAAAGCAUUUUUUUCACUAUUUAUAAAACAUAGAAGUCUUAAAAUAUAUCUGCAGUGCUUGGUGUAAAUUCAGUGAUUCAAGCCGCAGUUGGUUGGAGUCCAACAGUCUGCAGUGGCCUCCACAGUCCACCGUCUUCACAUCACAAGGACAGUUUCCACAUGUCUGUGACGUCUCCUUGCUCUUGUACUUAUGCCUUGAUGAACAAGUUUGUUUCAUGAAUAUUUCUCAGACAGAAGAAGGUGAUAUUCCAACGGACCUGAAAAGGAGAGCCAUCAAUGCCUUACAUUUGAAGAGCAGAGCAGCUGAAGAAAAGCUGUGACUCCAACGUGAGAUGGACGCUGUGAUUCAUCACCAGCAACACACUGACCUGCUUUCAUCCAUAGAUGA